rnacentral:rRNA from 1 species
GAUGAACGCUGGCGGCGUGCCUAAUACAUGCAAGUCGAGCGAACAGACGAGGAGCUUGCUCCUCUGACGUUAGCGGCGGACGGGUGAGUAACAUGUGGAUAACCUACCUAUAAUACUGGGAUAACUUCGGGAAACCGGAGCUAAUACCGUAUAAUAUAUUGAACCGCAUGGUUCAAUAGUGAAAGACGGUUUUGCUGUCACUUAUAGAUGGAUCCGCGCCGCAUUAGCUAGUUGGUAAGGUAACGGCUUACCAAGGCAACGAUGCGUAGCCGACCUGAGAGGGUGAUCGGCCACACUGGAACUGAGACACGGUCCAGACUCCUACGGGAGGCAGCAGUAGGGAAUCGUCCGCAAUGGGCGAAAGCCUGACGGAGCAACGCCGCGUGAGUGAUGAAGGUCUUCGGAUCGUAAAACUCUGUUAUUAGGGAAGAACAAAUGUGUAAGUAACUAUGCACGUCUUGACGGUACCUAAUCAGAAAGCCACGGCUAACUACGUG